GUUGAUGUAAUCAUCUGAAAUUAAUAGAAGCUUCCUUUAUCAAAAAAUCACCAAUCAGUAUAGGUUCGAAGUUACAAUGAAUAAUCAAUCAAAGCAUGUAGUACUAGAGGUAAAUUUAAAUGAGAGAUGAAACUCUCAUUUAUUUAAAUAUCAUUUCCAAUAUAAUUUCCCAAAAUCUCUCAAGUUUCAGUUUGGCAAAAGGAGAAAGAACCAACAGUCACCAUGACUAAGAUAGCUUACCUCGAUCAUCUUCCAUGCCAUACAAGAGAGCUAGAGGAUACCGUUGCUGCAUCAGCAAGUGAGCAAGAUGAUUCUGAAGCCUACAUGGCUGCAAUUUGCUGUGAGGCAGCCGCCGAUGGCUACAGCGGAGACCGGCGGCUGUGGAGGGAACCGGCGAUGUGAUGGCCCACAUAUCAGUGAGAAGAAAUGUGGCAACUAGUCUCAGCGGUCAGGAUUGGUUUGUAAGGAAAGUGAUAUGCAUCAGAGCUCCUGAUGCCUCCCAAGCCAACCACCAUUCAUGAACAGCAACACGCCGUCUAGAGUUUCCUCUUGGCUUCAUAAAACUCUGUUCAUUACUAUCUCAGAAUGUUGCAUUGGGUCUCUACAACUAUAUGUAGCAUUCGAUUUGAUGCGAUCAUUUUGUUAGUAUGGUAGUUAGAGAUGUAUUAGGAUAGGAUUGAUUUGUAGGGUAGUUUUCGUUAUCUCUGAUCCUUUCUUAUCUCUAACCAUGUACAUAUUCUCCUACAUAUACUGACCCCUAAGGCCCAAUACAACAUGUCCAAUAUUCGCAUUAUAUCUUUCUUCCUCUACUAUUUAACACAUUUAAUACAGUAAGCUAUUCUAUAGUUCAAUGAAGUGAACUGCCGAUCGAUCAACGAUCAUGGUCAAUCCAUGUAAUGUAAUUAACUCACCAGUGAUCGGUGAUGAACCAGGGAAGGCGUGACGAAAUUAACAACGUCAUAGUCGAGGCAGCAGGUCAGAUUUUGUGGACAAUAGACCAUUCCUCCCAGCAUCUUUGGAUCCAUCAGAUCGAGCAAUAAACAGAUGGGAGGAAACUAGGUGACAUCUCUGAAAAUCUCAAGAGAGAAAUUUUCAUGCGAGAUGUUUAAGUCCUAAGUCGAUCAAAUGCAGAAUGGUGGAUACCUUAUAUACUCUGUUAUUCGGCAUGCUAGAAAGUCUUACAUUGUGAAACGGAGGAAGUACACAUUAAUUCGCAUGAUAAUUACCAUCAAAACUGUACUUUUUACCCCGGCGCAUGAUGCGUCCAACAUGCCAUCCGCUGGUGAAGGUAACGCAAGUGUAUCUGCCUUGCCGUGCCAGGAAAUGGACAUAUAUCUCUUCAACGCCAUGGAAGGCAUCACGAUGCAAAUCAAUUAGAUAUGCAACAGCUACUAAUUUAGUAUAUUCGGUUUGAUGCGAUCAUUUCACCCAUCCUGCAUUCACUGUCAUACUUCCCGUUGCACCAAAAAAAUCGAGCCGCCAUUGUCCUAGGUGCUACAUGAGAAGUCCUGAUGCCUCCUAGGCCAACAGCACGCCACAUUGAAAUUCUUGAAAAACCACAUGUCCUCUAGAAUUAUGUUGAAAUUUUCAGCUAAGAAAUGUCAGGAAAGCGCAGCCUUUUGAAUCGAACUUAGCCCCUCAAACAACCUAAUCUGAAAUUCACUCUUAUGGAGAUUUGAACUCAGGACCGUGGGGUGCUAUUCAGAUCACUGCAACCACUAAAUUGCAUGCCCUUUCACAAUGGAUAUUUUUUCAUAUAUUAAUUUCAGAACUGUCCAUGCAGUUUAAUCGCUACCAUCAAUCAUUGCAUUCAUAUCUGUGAUCUCCAUCGACUCGUUCAUUUCUUUCUCAAUUUGGGUCCCUUCAUCUAUUUUUUAUGGAGCAAAAAGUGUACUGAUAAUGAAUGCACUUUCUGGUGGUAGCAAACAGAGUAUUCAACUCUGAAAACGUAUGAUAAAUUUUCAUGGCAGUUUUUUUUUUUUGACAAUGGAAAUAUAACUUCCCGUCUCUAUACCAACUAAAAAUAACAUGGUCAUAUUUGUGGGCUUUAGGGUUUGAAACUUAGUGGGUGUAGUCAUGCACCCACGACUCCACCACCACACCACCACCCAAGUGGUGCUUCCCCCUUGACUUGAUUGAGAAAUUAAUCAUCAAUGAGGUAGUUGAUAUUCUUUAACGCACUGAACUUUGUGUUUGCAGUGGUGCCUCCCCCUUGAUGCAUGAGAACAAUGAGUUUCAACUAGCUAGGUGCCAUGGGAUCAGUUUGUUACUCAUUUCUUGCAUUCAAAGCAGCAAGUCAAUAGCCAGGCCUACUUUUGUGUUGGAGGCAUCCCAAUGAUAAAAUGCAGAAUUUCUAACCAGUUAGCUUGGUAAAGAAUAAUUAAAAACAAUACUGAGUACUUCAGCUUCAAGCAUAAGGAGGAAUAACUCAUAUCACAAGUUCAUAAUUAUUGACGGGUUUUGUCUGGGGAGAAAAAUAACGGCAAACAGAAAUUUCUGCAGGACACAGUAGCAGAAAGGAAUUGAAUCAAGCCAACAAUUUUUCGAUGUGUAUUCAUGGUUGUGGCAUGAAGGAUAUCCCGUUGCUUUCUUGCAUUGGCAGGACCAGAGUACCCCCCAGAACGUAGACCAGAGAGCCCUCCUCGACUAUCCUGUCAUAUUGUCGUGACAGAACAACCGCUGGAUGGUGGGCAGCAGCUAUGGAUUCAGUGGCUAUGGCGAUGAGCCCCCCAGCAACAUUAGAACGCUGGAUGCAUGAGAGUAUUCACAAUCGGAGUGGCCUUUGUUCAGUCUUCCAUGAAAUGUUGAUCAUCUCCGAUAGGUUUCAACGAAAAUUUGCAGGAACACAGUGUCCAUAGACUACCUUGGAAUAAUCUUGUAAUAGGAAACCUCCCAAUGCCUGCCAGGGCUACAGUGGCAACAGGCCAUUGCAGUGAUCUCCAUCAACUCUCACGUCAUCAUAAUGAAAUGCCUACAUCAUCUCAUUGCUCGGGUACCUCUCCUUCAUCCCCCUUUGUAGGCGAAACAAAAGGAGAUAUCAUAUACCUGGACUGAAAUGUACUCUCCUCUUGUUCAAAUGAGACCAAACACACACUUAUCCCCAUCCUUGCAUCAGUGGUCAGCACUUGUUCGAUAACCACACUGUAGUAAUUAUCAAGAACGGAUGAAUCCAUCGUGUCCACUCAAGAUGUCAAAUUUGCUUCAUUGUUUUCUCAUGGAUGAAUUUCGACACAACUCUCUCUCAGAUGAAUGGCAUCGAGGGAAUCAUGAUAAAAAUAUACAUGUAACAGUUAAUCCAUUAAUUUGAUGGCAAUAAUAUAUAUUAUUAAAACUUUUGAUGGUAUAUAUUUAUCUACAUAUCUGCAUCAUACUACAGAAACUCUGUCAUGCAUCAGCGAUGUGUGCCAUCCCUAUGACGUGUACAACAGAAUUCUUGAACCGUCACUCCUGUGCCCAAUGUACAAGCUUGAUCUCUACAUGGUGGAUGGCAGCGAUGGCCCCUGACAUCCUUCUGGUCAUCUUGGCAAGGUUCUUUGUGAUACCAGCUACUCCAUUUCAUCAGGUGGCAUGAGAGCUCCUGAUGCCUCCCAGGCCAACAUCCAUGGUGCGUCAUCUGCUCCAUGAAAUGUUGCUCAUAUCGAAACAUUAUAUACUGAAACUUGCCCACCGUCAUGCCAGUUGUAAAUCGUCAGCAAAAAGAAUAAUUUCUCGGAAGAUAGAAGUGAUCGUCACCAACUUAGCGAUUUCUUUAUGGGAGCAAAUGCUGUAGUACCUCUAAUUAAUGCACUUUCUGCUGGUAUAGGCUGAUAGCGAACAUUAAAGAGUAGCCAUGUUCUAGAAA